UGGGGAAUAUUGCACAAUGGAGGGAACUCUGACGCAGCGACGCCGCGUGAGUGAUGAAGGACUUCGUUUCGUAAAACUCUGUUCUAUGGGAACAAAAGGACUGUACCAUAGGAGAAAGCUCCGGCUAAAUACGUGCCAGCAGCCGCGGUAAUACGUAUGGAGCGAGCGUUGUCCGGAAUUAUUGGGCGUAAAGGGUGCGCAGGCGGCUUUACAAGUUGGAUGUGAAAUAUUGUGGCUCAACCACAAACGUGCAUCCAAAACUGCAAAGCUUGAGUUAAGGAGAGGUAAGUGGAAUUCCUGGUGUAGCGGUGGAAUGCGUAGAUAUCAGGAGGAAUACCGGUGGCGAAGGCGACUUACUGGACUUAAACUGACGCUCAGGCACGAAAGCGUGGGGAGCAAACAGG
rnacentral:rRNA from 1 species